rnacentral:rRNA from 1 species
UUUAUUGAGAGUUUGAUCCUAGCUCAGGAUGAACGCUGGCGGCGUGUCUAAGGCAUGCAAGUCGAGGGCCCCGGUUUUACCGGGGACCGGCAAACGGGAGAGUAACACAUUGGUAACCCACCCUAAAGACAGGGACAACCCAGAGAAAUUUGGGCUAAUACCUGAUGGCCCCAGCACACAAAUUGCGUGCUGGGUAAACGGUUAAGAGCAAUCUUUUCCGCUUUGGGAGGGGCCUAUGGGCUAUCAGCUUGUUGGUGGGGUAAAAGCUUACCAAGGCUAUGACGGCUAGCGGGUUUAAGAGGAUGACCCGUCUCACGGGGACUGAGAUACUGCCCUGACUCCUACGGGAGGCUGCAGUCAAGAAUCUUCCACAAUGGCCGAAAGGCUGAUGGAGCGACGCCGCGUGCAGGAAGAAGCCCUUCGGGGUUUAAACUGCUUUUCUAAGGGACGAAUAUUUGACGGUACCUUAGGAAUAAGCCACUGCUAACUCUGUGCCAGCAGCAGCGGUAAUACAGAGGUGGCAAGCGUUAUCCGGAUUUAUUGGGCGUAAAGCGUCCGCAGGUGGUUUUAAAAGUCCGAGGUUAAAUCCCAAGGCUCAACCUUGGGACCGCCUUUGAUACUAUAAAACUAGAGGCUGGGAGAGGCAAGCGGAAUGGCCGGUGUAGUAGUAAAAUGCGUUAAUAUCGGCUAGAACACCAAAGGCGAAGGCGGCUUGCUAGAACAGUUCUGACACUCAUGGACGAAAGCGUGGGUAGCGAAUGGGAUUAGAUACCCCAGUAGUCCACGCUGUAAACGAUGGAUACUAACCAUUGGAAGUAUCGACCCUUCCAGUGUUGUUUUAAAUAAGCUAACGCGUUAAGUAUCCCGCCUGGGGAGUACGGCCGCAAGGCUAAAACUCAAAGGAAUAGACGGGGACCCGCACAAGCGGUGGAGCAUGUGGUUUAAUUCGACGAUAAGCGUGGAACCUUACCAAGGCUUGAAAUGAUAGGAGUACUCUGGUCGAAAUACCGGAGGACCG